rfam:Trichoderma harzianum strain T6776 Scaffolds0323.1, whole genome shotgun sequence.
GCUUCCGUAGCUCAGUUGGUUAGAGCUUCGUACUAAUACUAGACUUCACAAUCUAGCCUUGGUAAUGCGAAGGUCGCAGGUUCAAGCCCUGCCGGGAGCA